UUCAGAUGGUGGUGUUUGUGGUUGUUCAGAUGGUGGUGGAAUUGGUUGUUCAGGUGGUGGUGGAAUUGGUUAUUUAGGUGGUGGAGUGUUAGCUUCAGGUUCAGGUUAUGGUUGAGAGGCAAGAGCAUGUGCCUGAAGCUGAGCUAGUAUGAGGGAUUGAGGGUUAGAAGGUUCUGAGUCUGAUGAUAAGACGUAGUAGGGUGGAGAUGAAGG
rnacentral:lncRNA from 1 species